rnacentral:rRNA from 1 species
CCCGGGAUUGAAAUGUACCUGACGAACUGCGAGAGUGGUUUUCCAGCAAUGGCAGGUAUGUAGGUGCUGCAUGGUUGUCGUCAGCUCGUGCCGUGAGGUGUCGGCUUAAGUACCAUAACGAGCGCAACCCUGACUGUCAGUUGCUAACAGGUCAAGCUGAGGACUCUGGCGGGACUGCCGGCGUAAGCUGUGAGGAAGGUUGGGGUGACGUCAAAUCAGCACGGCCCUUACAUCCGGGGCGACACACGUGUUACAAUGGCAGGGACAAAGGGCAGCUACCGAGCGAUCGGAUGCAAAUCUCUAAACCCUGUCUCAGUUCGGAUCGGAGUCUGCAACUCGACUCCGUGAAGCUGGAUUCGCUAGUAAUCGCGCAUCAGCCAUGGCGCGGUGAAUACGUUCCCGGGCCUUGUACACACCGCCCGUCAAGCCAUGGGAGCCGGGGGUGCCUAAAGUCCGUAACCGUGAGGAUCGGCCUAGGUAAGAUUUGGUGC